rnacentral:rRNA from 1 species
UACGAAGGGGGGCUAGCGUUGUUCGGAAUUACUGGGCGUAAAGCGUGCGCAGGCGGCUUCUCAAGUCAGGGGUGAAAGCCCAGAGCUCAACUCUGGAAUUGCCUUUGAGACUGAGUGGCUUGAGUACGAGAGAGGUGAGUGGAAUUCCCAGUGUAGAGGUGAAAUUCGUAGAUAUUGGGAAGAACACCGGUGGCGAAGGCGGCGACCUGGUCCGAUACUGACGCUGAGGCGCGAAAGCGUGGGGAGCAAACAGG